GUAUGGAGGAAGGCAUGAUAAAGUUUGUUUCCAUCCAAAUUAAUAUUUGGACAUCUAAAUGACUUUAAAUUGAAAAUCUUUAAACUACGAAGCUAUAGAUCUGGUCGAAACUCACUAUAUUCACAUAAAGUUUGUCUUUUUUCGAGUCCAUAUUAAAAAGUUACGAAUAAAACGUAAAAUUCAAACUACAAGGAUGGAUAAUACAUGCUGAAACUACGGUUUUGGGUAUAAAGUUGUAGAUCUCGUCCGAAACCUACAUUUUUCUGGGUAUAAUGAUGUAGAUCUUCCCCUUUGACAAGUUUGAAUUUAUCCCCUCAGUAUGCUCAUUUGGUGUAUUGCUUGUCAUCUGGAACAGCUCAUGCUUCGUAGGACAGGUGCUGGACAUCCAGCAUUUUGCCUUGACCAUCAAAUUCACAUCAAC
rnacentral:lncRNA from 1 species